rnacentral:lncRNA from 1 species
CUGGAAUGCAAGGGGUAAGUGUAAGGCUAAAGAAAAGCUCUUGGUAGAGUCAGAUCGUUAUUUGUUGCUGAGUAAUGCUCAGUAAUCUAACCCGUGUCCUUGCAGAAAGAACUUCCCAGCUAACCAGUUUUAAGCUAUAAAUAAUACUGAUGCUUGGAGAAAUGCGAAAUACAGUAUCAAGGACUUGAGCUUUUACUUGAGUAAAACUUAAUCUCAAGAAAAAGUCUAACAAGAACUUUUAAGGAUAAAAGUCAUUGCUUCAGCGAGGAGAGGGAUACAUUGGGAAAUCGGCCAUGAAAUGCAUGAUCUUUUCCUUAUUUCCGUUUCUUUUAAAGGUGAAAACUUAAAAACCACUGUCAAAACAUACAAGCUACGUGCUGUGUUGCACCCGCCCUUCUGGUUCCUCCAGGGCUUCAGCCAAGCCAACCUUCCACCAAGUCACACCAUUCCCAAAGUCACCCAGCUGCGCAUCAAAACCAGGAAAAGCUGCCCCCAAAGUUGGUGAGGAUGAAUUGACUUUGGUACAGCUUUUAAAAGGUGCAAACAUGGGAAAUAUUUAGUAGAGGAAACUGCCAACACGCUGCAGAAGACUCUGCACUGUAAUCCCUGGUGACGCUCCCGGAGGGCCAGGAGCUGAUGUCACCAAGAAGCGGAAGCUGCAGCUGCAGCGAAGCUAUACCAGGGCCCUGCGAGGAGGAGGAGGAGGAGGCAAAGGGGCCUUCAUGCACCCUGGAGGAAGCAGGCAAGGGAGGCACACACAGAAGGAGCAGGACAAAAAACAUGGGGGACCUGAGAAGGACUGGAGAAAGGAAAAAUGAGAAGAAAAAUAGGGUCCGUCUUGAACAUCCAUGGCCAGCAGCAUAUAUGGGCAGGAGCUGUGCUCACCAGGCAGUGGAGGUGCCCCAGUAGAUGGCUCUCACCUGCUGUGAAAAGGAAUUCCCCACCUCCCAAGAGGCUUCAGGUUCAAAAGAGACAUUUCAGUUCUGCUCAUUAGCAACAUACAUCUCACCCCACCAGAAAGGCUGGA